rnacentral:rRNA from 1 species
UGCCCUUGACUCUGGGAUAAGCCUGGGAAACUGGGUCUAAUACCGGAUAUGACCUUCCAUCGCAUGGUGGUUGGUGGAAAGCUUUUGUGGUUUUGGAUGGACUCGCGGCCUAUCAGCUUGUUGGUGGGGUAAUGGCCUACCAAGGCGACGACGGGUAGCCGGCCUGAGAGGGUGACCGGCCACACUGGGACUGAGACACGGCCCAGACUCCUACGGGAGGCAGCAGUGGGGAAUAUUGCACAAUGGGCGCAAGCCUGAUGCAGCGACGCCGCGUGAGGGAUGACGGCCUUCGGGUUGUAAACCUCUUUCAGUAGGGAAGAAGCGUAAGUGACGGUACCUGCAGAAGAAGCGCCGGCUAACUACGUGCCAGCAGCCGCGGUAAUACGUAGGGCGCAAGCGUUAUCCGGAAUUAUUGGGCGUAAAGAGCUCGUAGGCGGUUUGUCGCGUCUGCCGUGAAAGUCCGGGGCUCAACUCCGGAUCUGCGGUGGGUACGGGCAGACUAGAGUGAUGUAGGGGAGACUGGAAUUCCUGGUGUAGCGGUGAAAUGCGCAGAUAUCAGGAGGAACACCGAUGGCGAAGGCAGGUCUCUGGGCAUUAACUGACGCUGAGGAGCGAAAGCAUGGGGAGCGAACAGGAUUAGAUACCCUGGUAGUCCAUGCCGUAAACGUUGGGCACUAGGUGUGGGGGACAUUCCACGUUUUCCGCGCCGUAGCUAACGCAUUAAGUGCCCCGCCUGGGGAGUACGGCCGCAAGGCUAAAACUCAAAGGAAUUGACGGGGGCCCGCACAAGCGGCGGAGCAUGCGGAUUAAUUCGAUGCAACGCGAAGAACCUUACCAAGGCUUGACAUGAACCGGAAAGAUCUGGAAACAGGUCCCCCACUUGUGGUCGGUUUACAGGUGGUGCAUGGUUGUCGUCAGCUCGUGUCGUGAGAUGUUGGGUUAAGUCCCGCAACGAGCGCAACCCUCGUUCUAUGUUGCCAGCACGUGAUGGUGGGGACUCAUAGGAGACUGCCGGGGUCAACUCGGAGGAAGGUGGGGACGACGUCAAAUCAUCAUGCCCCUUAUGUCUUGGGCUUCACGCAUGCUACAAUGGCCGGUACAAAGGGUUGCGAUACUGUGAGGUGGAGCUAAUCCCAAAAAGCCGGUCUCAGUUCGGAUUGGGGUCUGCAACUCGACCCCAUGAAGUCGGAGUCGCUAGUAAUCGCAGAUCAGCAACGCUGCGGUGAAUACGUUCCCGGGC